rnacentral:tRNA from 1 species
GGAGAGAUGGCUGAGUGGCCGAAGGCGCUCGCUUGGAGUGCGAGUAUGGGGGUAACCCCAUCCAGGGUUCGAAUCCCUGUCUCUCCGCCA